GCCCGGUUAGCUCACUCGGUAGAGCGUGAGACUCUUAAUCUCAAGGUUGCGGGUAAGUAGCUCUCCGAGCA
rnacentral:tRNA from 1 species